GCGGCGGCGGCGGCGGGCCGGCCCCGCUCCUCCUCUCGGCGCCUCGCCGCUCCCUUCCCUCGCUGGCUCUUUCUCUCGCUCCCUCAUUUCUGUGUGGCUGGCCACCCCUCUCCCCAGUGCUGAGUGUCUGAGAGCCGUUGGCUGCUCUGAACCGUUUGGCUCCUUCCCUUAGUAACAGCUUUUACAUUCUGCCUCAAUUCCUCUUCAAUCUAAAUCACACACACACACAGAUAUUACUUUUUUUCCUCCUUCCUUGGGACUUAAUCUCUAAUCCCCCCCCCUUCUUUCCCCACCCUCCCCCUCCCCCCCCAGUCUCUGGCUUGGGAUAUAAUUGAAUAUCACAGCAGUAUUUGGUGGUUAUUUUUUUUCUUCCUCCUUCUGUUUUUUUUUCCUGUUUUUUUUUUCCUCCUCUUGGUGUGGACACCUCAGCUAAAAAAAUAUUAUACAUACAUAUAUGUGUAUAUAUAUAUAUACACACACAGACACACAUAUGCGUGUAUAUAUAUACCGAGCUGUAUAAAAAAAAAAGGAGGAGAGAAAAACAAGGGUGAAUUUCUUUUUUGCCUCCAUUCCAAAGGAAGGGGGGGGAGCAGCCACUCAGCCAUCAAUUGCAAGCAUCACCCUUCUGUGGCAAGAGGCACCUGAAAGGAAAACUUCCGCAUAUCAAUGCRCUGCCAAUGGUACAGUUGCCUAUAACGAAGGCUGUGUGUAAGGAUUUAAUGCAAGAAGGCACCCAACAGGACUAUUGCAGUUUAGCGGUGGCUGACAUGUCUCUCAAAACUCCGAGUAGGUUGUGCUAUAAAUAUAGCCUCUUGUUUUGCAAUUGGCAUUUUGUUAGUGGGUGGCUAACUGCUAAUUUGAAGGGGAAUAAACCAGAGAUCUAAU
rnacentral:lncRNA from 1 species